rnacentral:rRNA from 1 species
GACAGAGGUGCCGAGCGUUAGGCGGAAUCACUGGGCUUAAAGCGUAUGUAGGCGGGUCGUUAAGUGUCUUGUGAAAUCCCCCGGCUCAACCGGGGAAUGGCUGGGCAUACUGGCGAUCUUGAGCAGUCUAGGGGCAGAUGGAACAAGUGGUGGAGCGGUGAAAUGCGUAGAUAUCACUUGGAACGCCAACGGUGAAGACAGUCUGCUGGGGACUUGCUGACGCUGAGACACGAAAGCCAGGGGAGCGAACGGG